UAUUUGCACAGUGUUCUUUCCUGUAGACGGAGCUGUACCCCUAAUGACUGGGAACCGCAGGGCAUCACAGACACACUGGCUGAAAUGAAACUGGCUUCACAAUGUGGAAGAGGAAGUGAGACAAUUGAUGGAGCCUGUUUGAAGGCUGAUUCGUACAGUGAUGCCGCUUCCGAUGCUUCUCUUAGAAAGGUUUCCCACGAGUCUGCGGCCUUACAAGAAACGGGCAUGGCGUAGGUAAUUUGGGAAUAUUUUGGAAUGGAAAUCUGGACGGAUGGGUCCUGAUGGAAAUGUUGUCAGGUGUGUGGGCACCAAACACCAACUUGCCUUCCGGGUGACGAAGAUGAACUUACGCCACUGAUCGACACCAUAUGGUCGACCUUAAUUAGGUUUACAGGGUCCAAAGGUCACCAUGUUAACAGUAGAUAGGUACAAAAGGUCAACAUGGACAUGGCUGACACAAGUUUUUAUGGUGUCAUUUUGUAUGUUUAACCAUAUUUAUACCUGUGUGUCUGUCUGUUAUUACCCAGUUUUGUUCUAUUACUGCUGUACCAAUUGU